AUGCAGCAGGCUGAGGAAGCUGUUCCACCUAACGAGGAGCUGUUGGAUGUGGAAGACAGAUUGACCACACCCGCUGAUAUGGUCAAACUGUGCGACGCAGUGCUGAAAGACCUGAAGGCCCUGGACAGGGUCAUAGUGAGGAAGCUCCAGGAAGUGUCGUCGCCGCCAAAUGACUGUCCAGGUGUGUGCUGUUUGAUUGACAGCUGGCUGCUCCCUGUCCUCUCAUCUGAUUGGUGUCUCCUAGGUGACAGGCCCCCCACCCUGACGGUGCUGCCCCCCUCCAGAGAGGAGCUGCAGCAGGGGAAGGCCACGCUCAUGUGCCUGGCCAACAAGGGCUUCCCCUCAGGCUGGAGUCUGAGCUGGAAGGUGGAGGACAGCAGCAGCAGCAGCAGCUGGGAGGAGAGCAGGAGCCCCGGGGUGCUGCAGAAGGACGGCCUCUACAGCUGGAGCAGCACCCUGAGGCUCCCUGCAGACCAGUGGAGGAAGGUGGGCUCUGUGACCUGUGAGGCCACCCAGGGCUCCCAGACUCCCCUCAGAGAGACACUGAGGAGAGACCAGUGUUCCCAGUCCUGACCGGACUCACUGGGACUCUCACACUGCUUUGACUCUCACACUCAUCUCACCUCUGUCAUUCACUCUCUUUCUCUUUCUUCUAUCAUCAAACCAAACUCUCUUCAUCAAUAUUCAUCUUCUUUCAUCAUGAUUUUCUUCCAGCUUUGAUAAAAUAAACACUCUUUUCAUGUCAACUCU